AAUCAAGACUAGGGGUGCCCAUUUAAAUGGGCUGAGAAAAAGGAGAGCCUUUUACCCUUGUACCUGAUCUGGAUAACGCCAGCGUAGGGAAGUCGCCUUAGUAGCCG
rnacentral:ncRNA from 2 species